AGAGUUUGAUCCUGGCUCAGGACGAACGCUGGCGGCGUGCCUAAUACAUGCAAGUCGAGCGAGCUUGCCUAGAUGAUUUUAGUGCUUGCACUAAAUGAAACUAGAUACAAGCGAGCGGCGGACGGGUGAGUAACACGUGGGUAACCUACCCAAGAGACUGGGAUAACACCUGGAAACAGAUGCUAAUACCGGAUAACAACACUAGACGCAUGUCUAGAGUUUGAAAGAUGGUUCUGCUAUCACUCUUGGAUGGACCUGCGGUGCAUUAGCUAGUUGGUAAGGUAACGGCUUACCAAGGCAAUGAUGCAUAGCCGAGUUGAGAGACUGAUCGGCCACAUUGGGACUGAGACACGGCCCAAACUCCUACGGGAGGCAGCAGUAGGGAAUCUUCCACAAUGGACGAAAGUCUGAUGGAGCAACGCCGCGUGAGUGAAGAAGGGUUUCGGCUCGUAAAGCUCUGUUGGUAGUGAAGAAAGAUAGAGGUAGUAACUGGCCUUUAUUUGACGGUAAUUACUUAGAAAGUCACGGCCAACUACGUGCCAGCAGCCGCGGUAAUACGUAGGUGGCAAGCGUUGUCCGGAUUUAUUGGGCGUAAAGCGAGUGCAGGCGGUUCAAUAAGUCUGAUGUGAAAGCCUUCGGCUCAACCGGAGAAUUGCAUCAGAAACUGUUGAACUUGAGUGCAGAAGAGGAGAGUGGAACUCCAUGUGUAGCGGUGGAAUGCGUAGAUAUAUGGAAGAACACCAGUGGCGAAGGCGGCUCUCUGGUCUGCAACUGACGCUGAGGCUCGAAAGCAUGGGUAGCGAACAGGAUUAGAUACCCUGGUAGUCCAUGCCGUAAACGAUGAGUGCUAAGUGUUGGGGGGUUUCCGCCUCUCAGUGCUGCAGCUAACGCAUUAAGCACUCCG
rnacentral:rRNA from 1 species